GAUGAACGCUGGCGGCGUGCCUAAUACAUGCAAGUCGAGCGAGCAGACGAGGAGCUUGCUCCUCUGACGUUAGCGGCGGACGGGUGAGUAACACGUGGAUAACCUACCUAUAAGACUGGGAUAACUUAGGGAAACCGGAGCUAAUACCGGAUAAUAUAUUGAACCGCAUGGUUCAAUAGUGAAAGACGGUUUUGCUGUCACUUAUAGAUGGAUCCGCGCCGCAUUAGCUAGUUGGUAAGGUAACGGCUUACCAAGGCAACGAUGCGUAGCCGACCUGAGAGGGUGAUCGGCCACACUGGAACUGAGACACGGUCCAGACUCCUACGGGAGGCAGCAGUAGGGAAUCUUCCGCAAUGGGCGAAAGCCUGACGGAGCAACGCCGCGUGAGUGAUGAAGGUCUUCGGAUCGUAAAACUCUGUUAUUAGGGAAGAACAAAUGUGUAAGUAACUAUGCACGUCUUGACGGUACCUAAUCAGAAAGCCACGGCUAACUACGUG
rnacentral:rRNA from 1 species